AGAGCUAUAUUUAGGCCUAAAUCAAGGCGAGGCGGCCGCUGCAGUAUUCUGUGAUUUUUCUAAGGCCUUUGACUGUGUAGAUCACAGAAUAUUGCUGAAGAAAUUAUUUCUUUAUGGUUUCAGAGGGCCAACCCUCGAAUGGUUCAGCUCUUUUCUCUCUGACAGAAAUCAAAUUGUCAAGGUCCUAUCUUAUUUCUCCUAUAUGUGAAUGAUCUUCCUAACAUCAAUAUUGAUGGUAAAAUUACACUAUUUGCAGAUGACACCACUUUAUUGUGGCGUGGAAAGGAUUUGGUUUCCUUGAAGAGUACCAUUAAAGCUGAUUUAGAAAAAAUUAAGUAUUGGUGUGACUCAAACUCACUAUGUUUUAACUUCAGCAAAACUAACAUUCUAUCAUUUAAAUUUGUGCAUGGAAAUUUCUGCCUUCAAACUCAUAUGAUAGAAAAUAAACAAUCUGCUAAAUUCUUGGGAAUUUGGAUUGAUAACUUUCUGAAAUUUGAAGAUCAUAUAAAAUAUCUGAACAAAAAACUUUCAUCUAGCUGUUAUGCCAUUAGAGUUAUCACUAAAGAACUGGGAGCAACUGCUGGUAAAACUGCGUACUACGCUUUAAUCGAAUCUCACUUGAGAUAUGGUGUCGCCUUCUGGGGGUUUUGUAGCAAACAGUUACUACAGUCUGUUUUCGUUUUGCAAAAAAGAGCAGUGAAAUUCAUCUACAAAGCCAAUAUUAGGGACCAUUGCAAACCCCUAUUUAUCAAUAAUAAAUUACUGACUGUACACUGCA